rnacentral:rRNA from 1 species
AUUGAACGCUGGCGGCAGGCCUAACACAUGCAAGUCGAGCGAGCGGCGGACGGGUGAGUAAUGUCUGGGAAACUGCCUGAUAGAGGGGGAUAACUACUGGAAACGGUAGCUAAUACCGCAUACCAUCGGAUGUGCCCAGAUGGGAUUAGCUAGUAGGUGGGGUAAUGGCUCACCUAGGCGACGAUCCCUAGCUGGUCUGAGAGGAUGAACAGCCACACUGGGACUGAGACACGGUCCAGACGCCUACGGGAGGCAGCAGUGGGGAAUAUUGCACAAUGGGCGCAAGCCUGAUGCAGCCAUGCCGCGUGUGUGAAGAAGGCCUUAGGGUUGUAAAGUACUUUCAGCGGGGAGGCGUUACCCGCAGAAGAAGCACCGGCUAACUCCGUGCCAGCAGCCGCGGUAAUAC